GACGUAGGGCGCGAGCGUUGUCCGGAUUUAUUGGGCGUAAAGAGCUCGUAGGCGGCUUGUCGCGUCGUCCGUGAAAACCUGUGGCUCAACUGCAGGCUUGCGGUCGAUACGGGCAGGCUAGAGUGCGGUAGGGGAGACUGGAAUUCCUGGUGUAGCGGUGAAAUGCGCAGAUAUCAGGAGGAACACCGGUGGCGAAGGCGGUUCUCUGGGCCUUACCUGACGCUGAGGAGCGAAAGCGUGGGGAGCAAACAGG
rnacentral:rRNA from 1 species